rnacentral:rRNA from 1 species
UAAGCGGAGGAAAAGAAACUAACAAGGAUUCCCCUAGUAACGGCGAGUGAAGAGGGAAAAGCUCAAAUUUUGAAUCUGGUGUCUUUGACUCCCGAGUUGUAAUCUAGAGAAGUGUUUUCCGUGUCGGACCGUGUACAAGUUCCCUGGAACGGGGCGUCAUAGAGGGUGAGAAUCCCGUAUAUGCCACGGACUACCGAUGCUCUGUGAUACACUCUCAACGAGUCGAGUUGUUUGGGAAUGCAGCUCAAAAUGGGUGGUAAAUUCCAUCUAAAGCUAAAUAUUGGCGAGAGACCGAUAGCGAACAAGUACCGUGAGGGAAAGAUGAAAAGCACUUUGGAAAGAGAGUGAAACAGUACGUGAAAUUGUUGAAAGGGAAGCGUUUGAAGUCAGUCGCAUCUGUUGGGAUUCAGCCUGGCUUCUGCCUGGUGUAUUUCCUUUCCGAUGGGUCAGCAUCAGUUUCGACCAAGGGAAAAAGACACUUGGAAUGUGGCUGUCUUCGGGCAGUGUUAUAGCCUUGUGUUGUAUGUCUUGGUUGGGACUGAGGAACGCAGCGCGCCAUUUUGGCCGGGGGUCGCUCCUCUCGACACGCGCUUAGGAUGCUGGCAUAAUGGCUUUAAGCGGCCCGUCUUGAAACAC